rnacentral:lncRNA from 1 species
CAGAGACAACCUCCAGCUACUUUUAUAGAAGAGGGAGCUGAUAGAAAGUGACGACUGAUAACAUUUCCAGCCUUCAGAAGACAAGAGAUCUCAGGAGACCAAAAGAAGUUUUAGUGUAUGUGAGUUCCUGAAUAAAUGCCAGAAAACACAUUGUUUAGAGACAUCAUUAAAAUUCAUGCAAUUUAAAUGUUAAUGUUUUAAGCAUAACCUUAUGCCAAAGGGAAAAUGCUCUAUUUGCUUCCAAUAUGUAAAUUUUAAAUUUACAUAACUAUAUCAUAAUAUUUUUCUUAUAAAAAG